UACGUAGGGGGCAAGCGUUGUCCGGAAUCAUUGGGCGUAAAGAGCGUGUAGGCGGCCCGAUAAGUCCGCUGUGAAAGUCCAGGGCUCAACCCUGGAAUGCCAGUGGAAACUGUCGGGCUAGAGUCCGGAAGAGGCGAGUGGAAUUCCUGGUGUAGCGGUGAAAUGCGCAGAUAUCAGGAGGAACACCAAUGGCGAAGGCAGCUCGCUGGGACGGUUACUGACGCUGAGACGCGAAAGCGUGGGGAGCAAACAGG
rnacentral:rRNA from 1 species